rnacentral:rRNA from 1 species
UACGGGGGGGGGCAAGCGUUUGUUCGGAAUUACUGGGCGUAAAGGGCUCGUAGGCGGCCAACUAAGUCCGACGUGAAAUCCCAAGGCUUAACCUUGGAACUGCGUCGGAUACUGGAUGGCUUGAAUUCGGGAGAGGGAUGCAGAAUUCCAGGUGUAGCGGUGAAAUGCGUAGAUAUCUGGAGGAAUACCGGUGGCGAAGGCGGCAUCCUGGACCGACAUUGACGCUGAUGAGCGAAAGCUAGGGGAGCAAACGGG